ACUGAAAAUUUCCUUUGCAGGGGGAUCCAUUGGAUCUAAUUACAAUUUAGAGCUGCGAAAAAAAAAAUCUCCUGCACUCAUUAUUAAUUUACGGUGCAUGGGAUAAUCGUUGACCUCUAUGAUGAACUCGGAGUCGUGCUGGACUAUGAUACAAAUUCUCCAUAAGAUUGAUAUUAGCCUAACUGUUUCUGUCAUGCAAGUACCAUCAGUGCUAAUCCUGCUUUCUUUGAAAUGAAACGAUACAAGUGACAAGAACUGAUGUACCUUCGGUGACUUUGUGUAGAUGCAACCAAGGGAGGCAUUUUUCACCACGGAGAUUGGGCAAUGAGCUGUAUUCUGCCAGCGGCUGAACCUUAUCCAGGGGCCUCUGAUGUCGACCGUGAGUUCGUCGCGCUGGGCGCCUAGGAGGAGUGGCACACUGUUUUUUUUCAUGCUUAUGGGCCUUAAUCAUGACUGUAAUGGCCGACCCAGCAAAUCCGAGGCCGGAUUACCGAUAAAUCUGAAUGGACAAGCAUUUCAAGCAUGGUGGCCUGGUGGGUGCAGUGCAAGUGCAACCGUAGGGAACAUUUCUGCUGAAAAUUGUUUUCUAGGUUUGAAAAAAUGCUCUGAUUUUGAUGUUAGGUUUCAAUUGGUUUGAUCAUUGGCAGCACUCUAUAUUUUCUAAUAGCCUUUCUAGGUUGAAUAUGUCAUGGUUUUUAGACAAUACAGCCUACAUUACACGACAACAUAUUUAUACAAUAUUAAUUGGCCGUUUUGUUAGGAGCUUCGGCUUCAUCUUAGAUCCCUCGCUCUAGUCAGGCCUAUGUAUUAAGUUGCUUAUGUAUAAAAACUUAUUGGCUUGUCCUGGACUAUAAGCCUGGCUUGUAUGUUGCCAUCCUUGGUUUUUCAUGGAUGACUAGCUAGCUUAUUGUUGAAAAAUCUCUAGAUAUUCUGAGGUUCUA